UCAUAAGCGGAGGAAAAGAAACCAACAGGGAUUGCCUUAGUAACGGCGAGUGAAGCGGCAAAAGCUCAAAUUUGAAAUCUGGCACCUUCGGUGUCCGAGUUGUAAUUUGAAGAAGGUAACUUUGGAGUUGGCUCUUGUCUAUGUUCCUUGGAACAGGACGUCACAGAGGGUGAGAAUCCCGUGCGAUGAGAUGCCCAAUUCUAUGUAAAGUGCUUUCGAAGAGUCGAGUUGUUUGGGAAUGCAGCUCUAAGUGGGUGGUAAAUUCCAUCUAAAGCUAAAUAUUGGCGAGAGACCGAUAGCGAACAAGUACAGUGAUGGAAAGAUGAAAAGAACUUUGAAAAGAGAGUGAAAAAGUACGUGAAAUUGUUGAAAGGGAAGGGCUUGAGAUCAGACUUGGUAUUUUGCGAUCCUUUCCUUCUUGGUUGGGUUCCUCGCAGCUUACUGGGCCAGCAUCGGUUUGGAUGGUAGGAUAAUGACUAAGGAAUGUGGCUCUACUUCGGUGGAGUGUUAUAGCCUUGGUUGAUACUGCCUGUCUAGACCGAGGACUGCGUCUUUGACUAGGAUGCUGGCAUAAUGAUCUUAAGCCUCG
rnacentral:rRNA from 1 species